GAAAAAUUAAGAACAAAGGAAAAUAUGCUGAAACUGUACAGUCACUGGUCAGGAUUAUUUCAGAAGUGCAAUUAUAAUACAAUAUAUGUUACUGGUUAAUUCCUAUGAUUUGUAAAUUUAAACAACACACAGAGGCUUUGCAUUAUUGUUUUACAAGAAAGACACCAAAAGAUGCAGUCAACAUUUAUCAUUUUUAUCAAAAUACGCCCAGGACAAACCAUGGGUACACUUAGCUUGAAAGAUGGUGCUUUCAUACCAAAAUUGCCUGGAAGUAAAAGAAAUAAAGAACCAAAAUUCAUGUCAGCAAUCAGGGGAUAAGAUGAAAGAAUACAGAAUAAGGUACUGUCAUGUUCAGUCUUUAUAAGAGUCCUGAUGCUCUAUAUAUAUACAAAUGUAUAUGCAUUUUGUUAUGCCCCGUCAUAGCGGUGGGGGCAUUUAGUUUUAUCCUUGUAUGUUUGUACAUAAUAUUAGAUUUAAGAAGAUGUGGUAUGACUACCAAUGAGACAACUCUCCAUCCAAGUCACAAUUUGUAAAAGAAAAACCAUUAUAAAUAGGUCAAAGUACAGUCUUCAACAUGUUCAACACAUGUACAGAGCCUUGGAUCACACCCAACAGUAAGCUAUUAUUAAUUUAAGGACCCAAAAAAUUACUAGUGUGCAACCAGCUUUCAAACAUUAAACCAAAGGUUUAUUCUAUAUAAAAAAGAGAAAAGAGAAACACUUAUAGUGCAUGAUUUUCUCACUGUGUUGAAGACCCAUUGGUGGACUUUGGUUGUUGUCUGCACUUUGGUCGGGUUGUUGACAUAUUCCCCGCAUUUCCAUUUUCAAUUUUAUUAAGAAGUUAUUGAACUUUAUCCUUUGAAAAAAAAUUCAGAAACAUUAUGUACAUUAUGAUCAUUGUGAUUGUGUUAAACAUCAGACAAGGCAAUCAAAAUGGUCAGAGGGGGCAAAGAAGUUUUGUUAUAAAUGUCAAAUGGUUAUAGUCUCAACCUAUCAACAUGAUCAAAAUUGUUGAUUUCACAGUUAAUAUUUACUUUUAGCAUGUUCAGCGGAAUAGAAUGUUUUUGUUAUAUUUUAUUAAAUGUCGAUUUACUUUGUUCUUAUAGGCAGGAGUAAAAGGAAAAGAAAACAAGGC
rnacentral:lncRNA from 1 species